GAUGAACGCUGGCGGCGUGCCUAAUACAUGCAAGUCGAGCGAACGGACGAGAAGCUUGCUUCUCUGAUGUUAGCGGCGGACGGGUGAGUAACACGUGGAUAACCUACCUAUAAGACUGGGAUAACUUCGGGAAACCGGAGCUAAUACCGGAUAAUAUUUUGAACCGCAUGGUUCAAAAGUGAAAGACGGUCUUGCUGUCACUUAUAGAUGGAUCCGCGCUGCAUUAGCUAGUUGGUAAGGUAACGGCUUACCAAGGCAACGAUGCAUAGCCGACCUGAGAGGGUGAUCGGCCACACUGGAACUGAGACACGGUCCAGACUCCUAAGGGAGGCAGCAGUAGGGAAUCUUCCGCAAUGGGCGAAAGCCUGACGGAGCAACGCCGCGUGAGUGGUGAAGGUCUUCGGAUCGUAAAACUCUGUUAUUAGGGAAGAACAUAUGUGUAAGUAACUGUGCACAUCUUGACGGUACCUAAUCAGAAAGCCACGGCUAACUACGUG
rnacentral:rRNA from 1 species